rfam:Phalacrocorax carbo contig52680, whole genome shotgun sequence.
AAAAAGGUUUUAAAAACCACCAUCAUUUAUAAACAGAAACAGU